CCUACGGGGGGCAGCAGUGGGGAAUAUUGCACAAUGGGGGAAACCCUGAUGAAGCGACGCCGCGUGAAGGAUGAAGUAUUUCGGUAUGUAAACUUCUAUCAGCAGGGAAGAAAAUGACGGUACCUGACUAAGAAGCCCCGGCUAACUACGUGCCAGCAGCCGCGGUAAUACGUAGGGGGCAAGCGUUAUCCGGAUUUACUGGGUGUAAAGGGAGCGUAGACGGUAUGGCAAGCCUGAUGUGAAAACCC
rnacentral:rRNA from 1 species